rnacentral:rRNA from 1 species
UUAAACGUCCAAACCAAGCUAAAUACACCGGUUCUAGUCCGAUCACUGAAGUUAAGCAAUGUCGGGACGGUCAGUACUUGGAUGGGUGACCGCAUGGGAACACCGCGUGACGUUGGCU